UACGAAGGGGGCUAGCGUUGUUCGGAUUUACUGGGCGUAAAGCGCGUGUAGGCGGGCUGGAAAGUUGGGGGUGAAAUCCCGAGGCUCAACCUCGGAACUGCCUCCAAAACUUCCAGCCUGGACUCAAGCAGAGGCAAGUGGAAUUGCGAGUGUAGAGGUGAAAUUCGUAGAUAUUCGCAGGAACACCAGUGGCGAAGGCGACUUGCUGGGCUUGUAGUGACGCUGAGACGCGAAAGCGUGGGGAGCAAACAGG
rnacentral:rRNA from 2 species